rnacentral:lncRNA from 1 species
UACUAUUAUGCCUUACAAAAAUACUAAACAUAUUAAAUAUAUAUGCAACUAGCUAGCCAUCUGGUACAACUUUUCUUGUGAAUUCACAAGCCUCUUCACCUCAACGUACGUCUCAUUUAAUCCACCACAAACCUGCCACAAAAUCAUACAAAGAGCCAACCAAGAAUCACAAUGUAGAGCAUCAUGAUUAACACUUAAAAAGCAUAUUAAAGUGAUUGGUAAAAUGAUCCAACGAAGGACAAAACCUAUUAAGUUACUAGGCACUAAAUACUCCAAACAAAUUGUGUGGAAUAAAAGAAAAGCACCCAUCAAAGAUUGCUCAUGUCUAAAAAAGAUACAUAUCUAAAAAGUAUACUAUUAGAUAAUAAGUAUACUAAAAAAAAUUAAGUUAAAAAAGAUAAUUUCAUUGAGCAAUAAUAAGGUAGCCUAUACCUAUACCUAACUUGAUAAUAUAUGGGGUUUUAACACAUGCCUUGACAAAUAAUUUGUUUAAUUAAAACAACAGACUGCAGAAACUAAAGUUGAAAUUCUAACUAAAGUUAAAAACUCACAUACCACUUCAAAUUAUAGUGACAAUAUUCACAUCAACAACAGCAAAGUAGAUAAUAGUAUUUCAAAAAAUAAAAUAAUGAGCAGAAGACGUCUUAGCAUCAACCCCCUCUCAUCUCCAACUUUCAACGACUAAUUAUAAUUCCUCUAGCUCACUCUAACUUAAUAUAUGCACAUUUUAUUCAGUUAACAUAUUAUAUAAACAUAAUUAAUCACUAUGAUCCUAAAUCUUAUGACACGUGCAGAUUGGAAAUGCAAAACAACACAAGUACUGCUGCUGCUGCUGCGGCCGUGGUCGCGGCCCCUGCCCCCGCCCCCAAGAACCAUGUAAAACAACAAACAUUGAAAAUGAAUUGCCUUCAGUCAUAUCCAGUUCACCAAACAUAAAAGGUAAGAUUGUAAAUAUAGCACAUAACUAGAGACUGGUGAUCACCUCCACUAUAUAUUGCAGAUAACUUUUGGGCUCAAUUUUAGGAAUUCCCAGUAAAGAUUGAAAACAGAUAAGUUAAUGCACCAGAUAUAGGCAAGAUAAGUAGCAUGAUAGCAAAUAUGACUCGUAAAAUAGAACUUAUAACUUAUAAGCUCACCAAAAAACCCCCCUACAGAUUGCUUUUAUCAAACCACAUUCCACUUUAUGACAUAUUCUACUUAAUGCCUAUAAUUGAGGACAGUUGCCAAGUAGGAAAGGGUUGAUGAAUAGUUAUAAGAGAUGCAUUACCUGAAACAAAAUCAAAAUAAAAUCUGAAACAAUUAACAUUCCUGCUAACUGACUGCUGCUCUCAUCCCAUAGAGGCACAACUCUCAGCCCCUAACAAAUUAUACCAAACUCAGAGUAAAUAUCAUAAGAUACUCAACACCUAACAGAAAAUAAACCAUAUAAAUGCUCUAGUUGAACAACUAAAUAAAUAGCAUUCAUAAAAGAGAUUUGGAGCAAGUACAAGGAGAUUUAGCAAAAGCAAUUAAAUCUUGUGGAAGCACUCGUUCAAAUCCCACCCCUAAUGUGAAGAAGUUUACUGUAUGAGCCACUAACCUUCUUGGCAUCCUAAUAUUCAGAAAAUACUAUUUAGAUAAUAUAUGAGAAAAGCUCAUGUAGAAGAAACAUUGCAUCAAUUAAGAAAGCAAACUAAAAUUAACCAUACUUGUGACUUGUGAGUGGUCAAUCCCUGCACCCAACCCAAACCCCACUGCCUACUUUCUGAUUUAACAAGCUUACACAGUCCCGGAUCAAUUGCAAGAGCAAGUCUGCCAGACACAGAAAACUCAGGAAAAAGUGGAUAAAUAAUUCUUAAAUAAAAAAUGGAUACUAGGAACAAAAAUAAUGUAUUUUUGACAAAUUUAAUGUGUCAGAGAUGCCACAAGAAUUGUAUUCGACACCUCCGCCCUCCUGUUAGUCACAGUCACUACGAGAGCUUCAUAAGUUGUUACCGACAACACAAUUUUAGGACCAUGGUCAAACUAGUAAAAACAUAAAACAUAUUGGUAUAACUGAGGCAUUAUAUCAUAAAUGUGAAUGCCAAUAUAGAAUAUGCCGAUAUAAAUUAGUUUUAAUCCUAACAACCCUUUCUAUGCAAUAUUUGACAACUAAAACAUAGAUCUCACCAUGGAUCAUAAGCAACAAUCUCUUUGAACUUCACACAAACAAGCUCACUGCCAACAAAGCAGAUAAUUGCAUUAGGCAAAAGACCAAGAAGCAAAGCAUAAGUACAUUGACUAAGAUUCAUUAAUUUCACCCAAACAAAAGUUGAUACUGUCAAAAUUAUAAUUUGAUUUAAAAUAAAUAGACUGUCAUACGAAUAAGCACAUCAUUCUUGUAAUUUAUUUUAGUUCAAAGGUAAAUUCCUGCUAUAUAGCUCUCAUCAUUUACCUCAUAGAAAGGUAAUGACAACAGCGAAUGAAAAGAGAAGUUCUAUCACUUGGUGCAAUUACAUGGCAGAUCAAAAGUAUAUAAUGAACCAAUUAAGGAAUUAACCCAUCUUAAAUCAAGACUUAUAAGAAGGAUAGCAAUAUUUGUUAUGUUCUAGAGGGGUAUGACACGUAAAACAAACAAGGAAAAAAUAUGAAGAAUAGAUGCACCAAAUAUUUGGAAAAGUAUUCUAAUAUGCUAAAGUAGGACAACUUAUGGCAAAGUAUACUCAUUAUCUUGCAUAUCAGUUUUGUUAAUAUUUGGGUUUCCAUCAUUAACACCACCACCAAAGACCUACAAUUCAAGAAGAAAUGAAACGAUAUAUAAUUUGCAUGAAGUAAAAAAAGAAAAGAAAGAGUAUAUAAUCUGAAUUGUAAAAGAUAUGAUGAAAAUCAUUCUCUUCUUCCAAUAUCAAAGUCGUGAAUAUGUGAAGCUAGAUCAAGCUAUUAAACUAAUCCCUCCAUAGGUUUGCAACCUCAUCAUUUUGCUCUGUUCCCUGUCGAUCACAUUCACAU